rnacentral:rRNA from 1 species
CGCAUCUGUGCAUGCAGCAUAUCAAUAAGCGGAGGAAAAGAAACUAACAAGGAUUCCCUUAGUAACGGCGAGUGAAGCGGGAAGAGCUCAAAUUUGAAAUCUUCAAGGUUUUACCUUGACGAAUUGUAGUUUAAAGAAGUGUUUUCUGUUGAAGUUUUGGUAAAAGUUCUUUGGAAUAGGACAUCAUAGAGGGUGAGAAUCCCGUAUUUGACCAUUAUUCUCAGCUGUGUGAUACACUUUCAAAGAGUCGGAUUGUUUGGGAAUGCAGUCCAAAAUGGGUGGUAAAUUUCAUCUAAAGCUGAAUAUUGGCGGGAGACCGAUAGCGAACAGGUACCGUGAGGGAAAGAUGAAAAGAACUUUGAAAAGAGAGUUAAAGCAGUACGUGAAAUUGUCAAAAGGGAAGCGUUUGACACCAGUGUUGUUUUCUCGAAAAUCAAUUAAAAAGAGUUAGAUUUUGUUGUGUAUUGACCUUAACAGCUUGCAUUUCAAUUUUCUUGCUUUUUUUAAUGCACUUUUCGUUUAACAAGUCAACAUCAGUUUCUUUUGUUGUAAAAAGGUCAUUGGAAGGUGGCUUUCUUUUCGGAGAAAGUGUUUAUAGCCUUUGACUCCUGCAAUCGGAGAGACUGAGGUCUGCAGCGUAGAUCCUUCGGGGUUAGAUACAUUUGUGCUAGGUUAUAGCUUUUUAUAGACAACUUGUUGACUAUGAUUAGUCUUGUAGCUUACUCGCUUAUGCUAUUUUACCUACGCUUAGGAUGUUGAUGUGAUACUGCGAGCA